CUCCCACCCGUUAAGGUGUGUACAUUGACUUCCGGUAAAGACGGCAAGUUUUACAGGGAUAUGAAUACCAGUUUGGUUCAUAAUCAGAAUCAUAAGAUUCUGAAUUGACCUCAUCUUCAUCCUCCUCUGUGAUCAAAUUGAGCCUCCAGGAGUGUCAGCUGUUUACUCCUGCUGCUCAUUUUGUAAAACAGGCGAUCGCCGUGGGUGAACAGCAUGAUGGUGUAGUCCCACACUCUUGGGCCAAACUUUGCUUCGAUCAGCGUGUGGGUGUCUUGGUCUUCCUGAGUCAGCCUUCCUAAAGGAACAACAUAUGCAAAGAUGUGGAGUUUCAGAAGAAUCUGAAAAAAUUCUCUCGGAUGAUGUCCUCCUUGUUGCUUCCCUUCUUGAAAAGCCCAGGUGUGUCAAUCACAUCGACAGGUAUAUCUCCAACCACCCGGGACUCUUUUUCACAGUGAACAGUGUGUGAACAGCUUCAUCUCUGAAGAGAUGAACACCGUUUUAUUGAGGAUGGUGUUCCCACUCGAGCUCUUGCCUGCACCACAUUUUCCAAGAAGCAUGAUCCUCAACGACUCUGUCAACCCAACAGAACAAGCAUUUUGAGAGUUCAUGAAAGCUGUUGUUCCCUUCAUUCUGACUUCUGAUAUUAGCCGUGUUUAAUUCUUAGAACUUCAUGGCUUUCACAUAUUAGCCCAGACUGUUACAUUUGAGGGCACAAACCAACUUUUUUAUUAUGUUGUUACAUUGUGGUAAAUACAUAGCAUUUUGGCAUUUGUUGAUGAAUAUAAUAAAAAGUAAAGAUUAAUAUGUUGUAUGUGGUGUUAUGAUACAAUAUGUGGUUUGUUUUGUUUUUAUAUGCCUGUUGAAAUAUUUUUCAUAUCUUACUUUUUCAGAAAAUUAAAUUUUGUAUUAUUAACCAAAUUGAUCCAGGCAUAUAUGAUUCUGUUACUGCAGAAAUUGCUAUUACUAAAUUUAACCACUAAUUUCAACAAGUGUGUGGCAUAAUUCCGGCUACAAUUUAUUAAAAUUAUUUGGUUUGUUGGCAAAGAACUGGGUUUUAAGCACAGUCUUGUUGUUGGCGACCGAAGGUCUCUGAUUGAGGUGCAACUUGCUCAGAGUCAUUUAAACAAAUAUCACUGGGAGUGUGUGUAUAUAUUUCAGUCUCUAUGUAUACUGUUCACCCUGUGUGGAUUUGCGAAAAUCCUAAAGAAAUUCAAACUUGUACAGCUAAUUCUUUGUUUGUUUGUUUGUUUUGAAGUUAUUAAAGAUAUACAAUCAUUCCACCCUGGGAAAUGAAGAGUCCAAAGAAAUCACUGAAAGCCCAAAAUUAUCAUGACAUUCAGUGGACAUAAACUUGACCACAGCUAUAUCUGUGGUCAUACUAAUCGAUCCAAAAAACUAAAUUACUUCGCUGGGUAACUUGUUAAAUAACUAAGCUACUAACUUAAGCUUCGUAACUUUGUAACUACCUAAACUAUUCAUAUUUGCAAAGUUUAAUCACACAUUUAUAAUACUGAUGUACAGAGUCUCUUAGUUUUUUGG